GGCUGUAGCUCAGUGGUAGAGCGCUUGCCUUGCAUGUGUGAGGCACUGGGUUCAAUCCUCAGCACCA
rnacentral:tRNA from 1 species